rnacentral:rRNA from 1 species
GACGAACGCUGGCGGCGUGCUUAACACAUGCAAGUCGAGCGGUAAGGCCCUUCGGGGUACACGAGCGGCGAACGGGUGAGUAACACGUGGGUGACCUGCCUCUAGCUCUGGGAUAAGCCUGGGAAACUGGGUCUAAUACCGGAUAUGACUCCACGGCGCAUGUUGUGGGGUGGAAAGCCUUGUGUGGCUAGAGAUGGGCCCGCGGCCUAUCAGCUUGUUGGUGGGGUGAUGGCCUACCAAGGCGACGACGGGUAGCCGGCCUGAGAGGCGACCGGCCACACUGGGACUGAGACACGGCCCAGACUCUACGGGAGGCAGCAGUGGGGAAUCUUGCGCAAUGGGCGAAAGCCUGACGCAGCGACGCCGCGUGAGGGAUGACGGCC